UACGUAGGUGACAAGCGUUGUCCGGAUUUACUGGGCGUAAAGAGCUCGUAGGCGGUGUGUCGCGUCGGCCGUGAAAACCUGCAGCUUAACUGUGGGCUUGCGGUCGAUACGGGCAUCACUGGAGUUCGGCAGGGGAGACUGGAAUUCCUGGUGUAGCGGUGAAAUGCGCAGAUAUCAGGAGGAACACCGGUGGCGAAGGCGGGUCUCUGGGCCGAUACUGACGCUGAGGAGCGAAAGCGUGGGGAGCGAACAGG
rnacentral:rRNA from 1 species